GAGCGCAAAGAUCGUCUAUGUUAGAGAAGAGUUAUUUCCUGUUUGCUAAGUACACGAAAGGGAUCCCAUCGGUGGUGUCAAGUGGGAGCUCCUAACCUAAAGCGUCCAUUUGGAGGCUGAUAAUGGAGGAUAGACAGAAAGAGUCAAAUACAGAACUCACCAGGAGGCAAAGUGAAUAAACGCAGGGCAACACCAGCACCAUAAUUGUGUGGUUGUGGCUGAAUAAGCUGGUCCUCCUGCAGGACAGGACAGCAGGCACAUGAGGCUUUGGGGGCCUGCGUCAACAAUAUAUGGAGCCAGCAGACAUCAGUCCGUUGAGGUGUCCCUCUCCAGCGCCACUGGAUGGUGUCGGUCAUCCUGAGGUGGAAUCCAAGGAGGAGGAGCUGAGGGGUUUUGUGCAGCUCUCAGUCGGGGUGUCUUGCAGGCCCCCGGGCUCGGCUGACUCCCCCGAAUCAACAACUUGCCUCAGACAACCUCUCCCCAUAAAGCCAGCCACUCAUCAAUCUGGCUGUGGCCUUAAUCUCCCAGUGAAGAAAUCCCAACCCACAUUCUCCAUGAACUUGGCUUCAGGAUGGAAUGAGACGGACAUGGAGCAUCGGGCUCUUAAAGCUGAAUCGGCUGUGCGCCUCAUAGAUGACUACCGCAGUGCUGAUACCUGCGUAGCCUCUGCAGCUAACGCGCGUCUUCAGAGGGAAGAGAUGGGCUUUGCUGACUUCACUGUGUUUACAGAGCAGACGGUGCAUCACUGGUGCUGUGGUUUCACACCUUCAGGGAAUCCAGAGACGUCUAACAGCAGACUUGGGCAGAGGAACCCUUCAAACAGCCCAUUAGAACGCCCCCGUAGUCCCGGGCAGGUGGCUUUAGGGGACUCUGACCCUCAUUGUUCAUCUAAAGCAAAAGAUUGCACCAUGAUCGGACACUGGCAGGAAGGAGACGCUGCAGUUGCGCAACCCCACCAGGACCAGCAACAGCCUCAGGAAACUGCAGCAACUUUGGUUUUUCCUCCUGCGAAGGUUUACGCCGAGAAAGGAGCGUCGGAGGAGAGCGAUCCGACCCCAGAGGUUCGAGAAGAGGGAGGCGAGGAGAGCGACGAACAAGACGAGCCAGGACGCCGCCGCUCCGACUCAUCCGCAACUCAGGAAAACUCUGCUACCUCCGGUCCGCUGCGGUCAGGAGCGCGCCACGAUAUCUCGGACCCGGUGCACGCCCAACGAGCCGACGCUGCCGUGCUGAUUCUGGGAACGCUCCCACCGAGCGACAGCUUCGCCGACUUCUGCGCAGCGCCCGCGCAGGACGACGGAGAGGAUUUAUGGGCGGAGUUCACGGACAGGAAGGAAGAGGAAGGCGAGCCGGCUUGGACCAGAGAGCGAGCCGGCUCCGUCCCCACUGAAGACGAGGACGAGGCUCCCGGCUGUAAGGCGUCACUUUCCGGCCGUGUGCACCAGCUUUUCCUGGCUAAUUUCCUGGAGGCAGGGGGCCCGUGUGCUGCCCCAGAGCUGGAGGUGCUCAGCCUCGCCGCUCUGCUUGAUGUCCAACAGCCCCCUCAGCGUGAGGACGGCGAGGAGCAACAGGGCCAGGGGAUCCAGAAGGGGCUGCGGUGGCUGCGCGCGGACCUUCACAGUGCAGUCGGCCUCCGGUUCCAGUGGAGAGGCUCCCACUCCAGCAGGACUCUGCUCAGGUGCCUCGGCGUGGACGCAGAGAACGUCCGUUCGCUAGAGACCACCAAAGACUCCGAGUCAGCCGCCCGUUCUCCGAGACACACGGCGGCACCGGCACCUCCGACCCCCCAGGACGCACCAGCACCUUCCACCGCUCCAGUACAGGGUACGAUUCCCUCCAGCCAGACGGACUGGAACAACCGCGGCCUUAGAAGCUCUCAGGACGGCACCUGCCUUCGCAGAGCCCCUCACUUCUGGGGUCGUAAAUAG
rnacentral:lncRNA from 1 species